GUCAUGUCAGUAAGAUGUUGAAUAGGAAUGGUAAAAGGAGAUGUCAUUGCUUCAUUCUCAAUAUUAAAGGCAGAGAGUCUCUCACAGUGAUGAGUUUAUUGUAGCUGUUUGCGUUGUCUCCCUCCCACAGCAAACCUUCAUGGCAUCUCCAGCUCUGAUUCCAGGCCCUGGAAGCUCUUGAUCUAGGACCAUGAUACAGCCUCGCCAAAGCUUGGACUUGAGUAGAUGCUGUCGACGGCUACAUGCUCAGAUCACUCUCCUAGGGAGGAAUAAAGGCACAUGGAAGGCUGACCUUCUUGAGAGCCGGAAAUCAUCUCCCUGGAAAUCAUCUUUGCAUUUUAAUAGUUACUUAUGCAUUGGUGACUUAACCUUUCGUUAGCUCAGAAAAAAUAAAUGGUGUGAGGGUGAGGAAAGCAUGCUCAAAGAAUCACAGCAACAAGUUUCUCUACCUGUGUCUCUCCUCUUUGAUCCACCCCUUCUCCAUUAGCCAGAUUCUGAAAUACAGUGCCAAAUACAUAAGCAGUCAAUGGAAAUCCAGCACUUCUGAAGAGUGACCAAGAUGAAUGGAUGUCCAGGCCUUCCUUUGACAUUGCAUUCCAUUCUCUGCCUUUAAUUCUACUUUUCCUCUGUGUAAGGUGAUACAUAUUUAUGUCAACAAAUUGCCAUGUAUUUCUGUUUCCAAAGAUGUGUCAUUUGUCUUUCUACUGCUUAUGAUCCAACUGAUAUCUACACACCAAGAGGAGGAUAAUUUAUCAUAAAAAUAAAGAAUGAAAAUAAUUCCAAGCAGGACUUCAGGUCCAAUGACUAAAGACAGGGUUCCUUUAAAUGUCUUUGAAUAGCCUUUGUGGACUGAAGCCUAACAGUACAACAGUUUCAAUUUUGAUGACAGACUUUGAAGUAAAGCAACAAUUAACUGGCAAAAUAUUUUGGAACACAUCCUGAGCAAAAACAUGAACUUUGGUUUCUUGAAAGAAAGGUUAAGAAAGUAGAUAGUUUAAGUAAAUUCUUUUGUUAAAAAUGACCAUUUC